GUGAUCAAAUAAGUGUGUCUCUGUGAGCUCUGUAGUCCCUUUCGCUCCUGAAAUGGAAGAGAAGUAAGAUAACCCCAGCUGAGUAUCAGAACAGAUUUAUAAUUAUUGUUGCCCACAAGCAAAGGGUUCCCAGGAAAAUUGAAGAAAAAAAAAAAAAAAGAAAAAAAGAGAUUUUUAUUUCUUUCAUUUAGAUAAAAAAGAUUCUUUUAGCAGUCUGAUAGCAGCAGUGCCAUUUCACGCCUAAAUCAAAGGAGCACGCUCACACCCAGCUAACACACCGUCCUUGAGCCAGAGGGAGAAUGACUAUGGCUUCUGAACAGAAGGCGGUUUCCAGACCUCACAAGACUUGCCCCUGCCCUGGGUCAGGACCGUUUGCUUGGGAUUUUCCCCCCCUUCCAGUGCUGGGACUUGUGCCCUAAGCCCGAGGCCGCAGCAGCCCGGGGAGGGGACCGGCUGUGGGGCUGCAGCAACCAGGGGAGGGGAUGCAAAACCUGAAGCUGAGACGUUGGAAUUAUACGGGCAAAGACCGGGUCCUGUUUAUGUGGGUAUGGCUGCUGGAAUUAGAGUAGCCACGGGCUAACUGGCAGGUUUCAGGGAGCAGAGCUUUACGAUAGCACUCCGGAGGUUUCCUGGGACAAGCUGAAGUGAUGAGAGGAGGGCUUCCAGAGCACAUCUGCCGUGGCGUCGGCUGCGCCGAACCCGUCCUGCCCGCUGCCAAGUGAAUGCAACUAAAACAGCUGGUAACUAAAGCAGAAAUGAAGUGUUUACUGCCUAAACACAGCGCUCAAGGGAAAACUUCUAAAACCAGUGUUAUUUUCUCACAGACAAACAAGUGGUCGGAGCUUCCCGACAGCCCUAACGCAGCCACGCACAGCACUAACCUGGUGACUGGCACCCUGCUUCACCAGGCACCCCAUCAGAGUCAGAACAACCUGAAAACACCCUGCUCAUUGCAGUGUAAAACACACUACCGUUUUCUUUGUAAUGAAGGGAGCAUUUUGCACUUUUGUUGCCAUUUUCUUAAACAUUUCACUUCAGAAAAAAAUGUCCAUGCAAGUUUAAAACCUUCAAUUUCUUGCUUUAAAAUCCCAUGA
rnacentral:lncRNA from 1 species